rnacentral:snRNA from 1 species
GAAUGUGAAGGCUAUCUGGCUGCGACAUCUGUCACCUCAUUGAUCGCCAGGGUUGACUCGGCUGAUCUGGCUGGCUAGGUAGGUGUCCCCUUUCUCCCUCACCGCAGCUUCAGGAGGGAUGCACAUGGAGCUGUGCUCCCCUGCUAGAACCUCAAAACAAGCUCUCAAGAAAAAAAAAAAACCAUAAUUCUCAAAAGUAUAACUUUUGUGAACACAUCAGAGAGUAGAUGUUAUAGGACAGCUGAGUAUAAAGUAGAAGGAAUGACAGUUAUUCUCAGGGUGAGCCAGGAUGAACACUGGCUCAGCCC